GGAGUUGUAGCUCAGUGGUAGAGCGCUCAACCAGCAUGUGUGAGGCCCUGGCUUCUAACCUCAGCACCA
rnacentral:tRNA from 1 species